UACAGAGGGGGCAAGCGUUAUUCGGAAUUACUGGGCGUAAAGCGCGUGUAGGCGGCUAAGUAAGUCGGGCGUGAAAUCCCACGGCUCAACCGUGGAAGUGCACUCGAAACUGCAUAGCUAGAGUCCUGGAGAGGAAGGUGGAAUGCUUGGUGUAGAGGUGAAAUUCGUAGAUAUCAAGCGGAACACCGGUGGCGAAGGCGGCCUUCUGGACAGUGACUGACGCUGAGGAGCGAAAGCGUGGGGAGC
rnacentral:rRNA from 1 species